UCCAGAUCUCGCUCCCCUCGUCUCCCACAUCGCCGCCGCCACCCACCCCGAUCCCAUCCCUCCCCUCGUCUCUCCUUGCUGUCUCACCCGAUGGAGAGAGAGCGAACGAGAGCUCGCCUCCUCCCUUCCAGAUCACCGCCGCCGCCUCCCUCCGACGGAGCUCACCGCCGUCCAUGGCCUUCCCCACGCCCUCCUUCUCUCGCCCCUCCUCUUCCCUCACCAGAAGGGAGAGAAGAACCCGAGGGAGGGAGAUCCAACGCGAUCCAGCCUCGGUCCACACUUGGGAACCAAUGCUGAAUACGUCUGAAUGGAGAACGCCCGCCCUCGCCUCGCUCCUCCGGCCCGCCCACCAACCUACCCGGGCCCCGAUCCGCGCGGAGGGGGGGGGGAGGAAAUGGCGGUGGUCCUCGCGUGGCUCAACGCCAGGGUCGUCGAUCCCCUGCUGCAGCUCAUCCAGAGGGGCGCGGAGCCAAAGCAGCUGGCCUUCUCCGCCGCGCUCGGCGUCACCAUCGGGGUCUUCCCCAUCUGCGAUCGGCUACCCUACUCGAUAAGUAUUCUGCUCGAGUCGGCAAUCAGAAACUGCGACGAGUUCCAGGUCACGGGGAAGGACGUUGAGAAGAUCCUAGACUGGGAGAACAGUGCCACCAAGCAAGUCGAAAUCCCGUUCAAGCUAGCCCGUGUCCUCCUCAAGGAUUUCAUUGGUGUCCCAGCAGUUGUUGAUCUUGCUUGUAUGAGGGAUGCUAUGAGCAAACUUGGGAGUGACCCGAACAAAAUUAAUCCUCUGUUGCUGAUGAGUAGAGGCUGGUCAAAUCCUCGAUGUCCUACAUUGCCUGCUAUCUUAUUCAGUUUUUUUCUUCCCUGUAUCUGUCAAGCUUAGUCAUGUUUACACACAACUUCAGUAAAUGGCAUUGUAUAUGUUUUUCUCAGUAAAUGCAAUAAGCACAAGCUAUUCAGAUUACUUAACUGAAUUUGUUAUAUGCUGCAGUUUUAACUGAAUUAGAGCACCUAAACUGUUAACUGAACAUGUGCGCAUAAUAUGUUAACUGAAUUUCUGCAGUAAACAUGUUAUCUGAAAUUCUGUAAUGAUAUUAACUGAUGUGAGUUUGUGCACUUGAUGUUUUAUACUUGGAAGACAAAUGAACUUGUUUUGGUUAUACCUCUCCCUGUUAAUUAUGGGUGAUUUCCUUCUUUCAAAUUAUAUAUGUUCUGUUUUGAGCUAUCCCUCUGCCUGGUAAUAAAAGUAUGUGCAUUGGUUGAUAUUUAGUAUUCGUAUGUCUAGUUCAUGAUGAUGGUCACUUGCGGCAGAGGCACCGAUAUUUUUGUGUCUAGAUAUUCGUCGCCGAUAACUAAGCACACAAUGCUUGUAUAUACCGAGUUUUUACUGCCUAGUAGUGAGCACACCUAGCCCCAGUCACCUACUUCAAUCAAAGAAACUAAGAAUGUUCAUAGUAAUUUGAAAAGUAUCUCAUGCUUGAUGCUUAUACACUUGCAUACACAUCCCUCCUCCUAUUCCUCCUCUCGUCUCCCACAAUCUGAUUUGUGUGUGCAUUUAUUUUUGCAGGUUCAUGAAGAGGCCAAUCUGGUGUUGUGAAAGAAGGGGGCUGUCCAUGGAGAAGAUCCCGCGGCGAGCUCCUCAGGGAAGGCAAGUUGUCGCACCUGGAGAACUUGCCCAUCAAAGGGAGCAAUGAAGACAUUGUUAGGACAGUACCAAAUGUGCUCCUACGUGUUGAACAAUGUUAUGUAGUAGUGAGAUAAGGCAAAUUAUGUAGACAUUGUUAGGACAGUACCAGAUGUGCUCCUACGUGUUGAACAAUUCCCGUGUAAUGAAAUUUUGUAUUCCCUGUGUACAUGUUGCUUUAAUGCCAGAUUGUGAAAAUUACUCAA